AAGAUCCUGAGGUGAUCGUUAAGGUUUAAUAAUUUAACCUACAUUUAGUUCACGGGAUAUCGGGGUUUUCGUAGCCUAUGUCAAGCCUCCUAAGAGUGGACGACAGAAGCAGAAACAGAUAACCCACCUAUCGAUAGGAUAGGUUGUGAAUUAUAAACCUGACGACACAUUCGGGAUUUUU
rnacentral:other from 1 species